CUAUAAUGCAGUCGAGCGAACAGAUAAGGAGCUUGCUCCUUUGAAGUUAGCGGCGGACGGGUGAGUAACACGUGGGUAACCUACCUAUAAGACUGGGAUAACUUCGGGAAACCGGAGCUAAUACCGGAUAACAUUUAGAACCGCAUGGUUCUAAAGUGAAAGAUGGUUUUGCUAUCACUUAUAGAUGGACCCGCGCCGUAUUAGCUAGUUGGUAAGGUAACGGCUUACCAAGGCGACGAUACGUAGCCGACCUGAGAGGGUGAUCGGCCACACUGGAACUGAGACACGGUCCAGACUCCUACGGGAGGCAGCAGUAGGGAAUCUUCCGCAAUGGGCGAAAGCCUGACGGAGCAACGCCGCGUGAGUGAUGAAGGGUUUCGGCUCGUAAAACUCUGUUAUUAGGGAAGAACAAAUGUGUAAGUAACUGUGCACAUCUUGACGGUACCUAAUCAGAAAGCCACGGCUAACUACGUGCCAGCAGCC
rnacentral:rRNA from 1 species